AUUGAACGCUGGCGGCAUGCCUUACACAUGCAAGUCGAACGGCAGCAUGAUCUAGUUUGCUAGAUUGAUGGCGAGUGGCGAACGGGUGAGUAAUACAUCGGAACGUGCUCUGUAGUGGGGGAUAACUAGGCGAAAGAUUAGCUAAUACCGCAUACGACCUGAAGGUGAAGGUUGGGGACCGCAAGGCCUCAUGCUAUAGGAGCAGCCGAUGACGGAUUAGCUAGUUGGUGAGGUAACGGCUCACCAAGGCGACGAUCAGUAGCUGAUCUGAGAGGACGAUCAGCCACACUGGAACUGAGACACGGCCCAGACUCCUACGGGAGGCAGCAGUAGGGAAUUUUGGGCAAUGGGCGAAAGCCUGAUCCAGCAAUGCCGCGUGUGUGAAGAAGGCCUUCGGGUUGUAAAGCACUUUUGUCCGGAAAGAAAAGACUCUGAUUAAUACCUGCAGUCGUUGACGGUACCGAAAGAAUAAGGACCGGCUAACUACGUG
rnacentral:rRNA from 1 species